rnacentral:rRNA from 1 species
UACAGAGGUGGCAAGCGUUGUUCGGAAUUACUGGGCGUAAAGGGCGCGUAGGCGGGAUGGCAAGUCGGUCGUGAAAUCCCUCGGCUCAACCGAGGAACGUCGAUCGAUACUGCUGUUCUUGAGGAUUGCAGAGGAGAACUGGAAUUCCCGGUGUAGCGGUGAAAUGUGUAGAGAUCGGGAGGAACACCGGUGGCGAAGGCGGGUCUCUGGGCAAUUCCUGACGCUGAGGCGCGAAAGCGUGGGGAGCAAACGGG